rnacentral:sRNA from 1 species
AUAUCUCUCUGUACGGGAAGGAUGAGAAGCUUCUACCAGGGUUCGAUUCGAGCGCAGCGAGAAAGCGUUGCCGCAGGCAACGACCCGAAGGGCGAAGCGCGCAGC